GGAAAAGACAUUGUAGCAGAUCAUUUAAUAUUGCAGCGAUACCCAUCCAUGUUGUUCUCUGUGAGGCGACCCUUAUUUAUCUUGAAGUUACGAUGCGCUGUGUGAUUAUUAUCUGUCUUUUGGUGUUGGUGGGUGCAUGUUCUGCACGUUCAUUUGGAAAUGAAGACGGCAUGAAUGUAAAAAGACUAGUUCCAGGUGUCAAUAUUAACUGUAAAAGUUAUGGUCAGAUGUGUGGAGGAGGUAGAGGCUGCUGUGGUGGAAUGUACUGUGGACAAUACAAUAUUUGUCAAUACCGC